UUGCACCUUUAAUUAUGAGGUGGUUGCAAGCGGUUGUCUGUGAUGUAACAGACCAUCCAAGCUUGACCUACAACUUUAACAACAAGAAUAAAAAUGCAUCACCUCCAUCAAUCUCUCUCUAGACUCUUUAGAUGCAUCUCGUACAGGUAGUCAUCAUAGCCUCCCCAAGCCUCCGACCGUCUCCUCAAGCCCUCGACCCCUAUUCGAGCCCAGUCCAAAAACUA
rnacentral:lncRNA from 1 species